UCCCUGGUAGCUUAGUCAGUAAAGAGACUGUCUGCAAUGCAGAAGACCCACGUUCAAUCCCUGGCUUGGGAA
rnacentral:tRNA from 1 species